GAUCCUGGUUCAGGAUGAACGCUAGCUACAGGCUUAACACAUGCAAGUCGAGGGGCAGCAUGGUCUUAGCUUGCUAAGGCCGAUGGCGACCGGCGCACGGGUGAGUAACACGUAUCCAACCUGCCGUCUACCCUUGGACAGCCUUCUGAAAGGAAGAUUAAUACAAGAUGGCAUCAUGAGUCCGCAUGUUCACAUGAUUAAAGGUAUUCCGGUAGACGAUGGGGAUGCG
rnacentral:rRNA from 1 species